AAUGCACUAAUUAAGGGAUUCCAAUACAAUCUGUGUUCUUAUUUUAAUAUAUUGAUUUCCAAUUGGAUCUCUUUUCCUAUAUGCAUGAACUCUUGUAGAACUUGGUAAAUGUUUGAUACAAAUAAUCGCAACUUAGGUUUAUUAGAUUAUUAUUUUAGCAUUGUGAAUACAAUAGUAUGAUCAAUUCAGCUACAGUUUGGGAAUGCCCAAAGCAUGUUCAUUAAUUUUUUAGUUGAUGCCUUUUUUAUGUAGAGGAGCAAUUUGUUUGAAAUUGCCAAAAUAGUGUUAUGUAUCAGACCUGCACUUAAUCCAGAAACAAAGAAAGGAAGCUAGAAAG
rnacentral:misc_RNA from 1 species